rnacentral:lncRNA from 1 species
AAAAAAGAUUUGUUUAAACACCCAUAAGAACAGUCAAUUUGGGUCAGACAUGAAUAUAUGUUUUAACUGCUCAAGGAAAUAGUCACCAACAGCACCUUGAAAAAUGAGAUAAAUUUAUGUACAGAUCAAGAAACUUCAAGGGUAGGUGGGAAGCACAUCAUGAAGGUAUGAAUUUGUCAACUCUCUUCUUUUUGAGCAGCUUUAAAUUUUUCCUUGUUAACAUUAUUAUAAUUAUUUGUUACAAUUUUCCUAAAAGAAAAAACAUCCAAAUGUUUCCUAUUUUAUUAUCUAUUGUGGCUAAGAAAGCUUAAAGGUACUGAUAUCGGCCCACUUAAUUUAGCUGUUUAUUUUGUUACUUCCUACUUUCUCUAUAAUAUUGUCUUACUUGUCCGUACAUUACAAAGGCACACUGGAAACUAAGCUGAGGAAAAUUACACCCAUUUUCUGACCUGCUUGCUAAUACGAUGUUUACAUCGCUGACGUAAUGAGCAAACCCAUUAUCAUGAGCUUCAGCUGUUUACAACAGGUCUGAACUUUAUCGUUUUCUUUUUUGUAGCUCUGGCUGUGCAGAUUAAUGUAAUGAUGUAAGGUGUGUCAGAUGGCUUCCUUCUGCAGGCAGAGAACACCUCUGCAGCCGCUGUUAGCGCAGGCCUCCGGAGGUGCCUCACUGAAGGGACGGUACGUGGUCUAGGUGCAGUCGAAGCUUGAUGCUUCUGUGCCAUUCGCUGUCUCUACUGGUCCUGUCUGUUUCCUUGGCUUUGUACUUUGGGGUUAACAACAACAGAUGCUUAAUACUAGAGAACUAUAGUGUAACUGAUAAGACUGCUCAAUCUCUUUUCUAUCAAUCACAGCUUAUAUAUGCAGUUUAAAUUUGCCCAUAAAGAAGAUGGGGGAGGUACAAGCUCCUAGUCACAAGCUAGGCUGUUGCUGGCUACGUUUCUGUCACUAAAAAAGAAAGUCUAAUUCUUUGCACAUUUUCAACACAAAGGGUAGAGGCAACAGUUGGGUAAAACCUCUUUAAGGCUGGCAAUGAGAUUAUCCAUUUCCUAGGUGAGCUAAGUAGGUUAAGUGUCUUCAAAUACUCUAAACUGUCUCUCUCAUAUCCUGAAAGCUAUUAACACAUUGGAACAGCCUGCUUCUUUACAGGCUUAGGUCUGAAUGGCUAAAUGCUACACGGCAUUGCCUUACUUAAUCACAGCUGGUCCUCAGUCAUUACUUUGGUCUUACAGAUCUCUGACUUUUUCCUUAUGCUACAGAGGAAGCUCAGGCCCUCCACAUACAGAUCCAGCCAUCAUAAUGCCCAGCUAUAGACCAGUAUCUCAGUUCCUGCUGACAGUAUAAGCAGCUAUUCGUCAGCUGAUUUUAGCAGUCAUGAUUAUUCCAAAAAGUUCAAGAAGCCAUCCAAGACUCAGGCUUGCACUAGUAAAAAUGGCAAAGUAUUUUCAAGCUGAGUAUAAAAACACGUACAAGGACUUCAGAUUCUCCAGUGACACGUUCCAAGUCCUGAAAAAUAGCAUUUACUUUUUCAUUUACUUCACUCCAUUUCACAUUAGAGAACAUAAUGAUAAGCACAAUUGUUUUAAUAAUCUGUUACCUAAACCACAGCGAAACAGAAGGUGCUUUGGGAAAUAACAGUCGCUCUGAAAAACUGAAAAACUUUAAAUAAGGAGCAGCCAGACUGGACUGGAUCCUUUCAGAGAAAGUACUUUGGGACAGAAAAUGACAAAAGGGAAUAUACUUUGCUGGUGCAUUUGGCCUAGCUUGCUUGGGCUUACUUCUGUUCUCAUAAUGCUAGGCAUCAAAGUGAUGGUGUGUUUUUCCUUUUUCCUUAACACUGUUAUUGAAAUAAAGGGUUUGAAACACAGCUUUUUCAGAGAGCAGGCAGAUAAGUCUCCCCGCCCUCCCCAAACAUAUUCACACACUUUCCAGAUAGAAUGCACUUGUAGCAUUCACCCUUCAUUCCUAUCUGGGAAAAUAAUGUCGGCUCAUUUUUUCACUCAUCUGAAAGGGCCCGUAGUCCCCAGCGUCCUGCUCAGGAGUUCUGGGAAGCAAGUGUAAGUUAUGGUGCUACCGCUGCUCAAUUUAAUAGCUUCUGCUGCAAGCCAUAUCAUAAGCAUGUAGGUAUACACAAAUUACUCCUAAAUAUAUGCAGUUAAAGAAGUGGUAAGAGUCCCAUAAAAAUUACCUAACAUAAUCUAUUUAAUUUCACAAAGUUCUCAUUUUGUGGUGUGGAAGAGAAUCCACAUUAACAGGCAGUUACAAAUAACGGCUGUGACGGAGGAGCAAAACCUUUCCCAACAGCAGCAGUGCAUGUGGGUAGUGUGCACUCAGCAAGGAGAUGCAGCAUACCUGAAGUCUUGGAGCAGUGCUUUUAGGUAGGAAAAAAGGGCUACAAGGGUUCUUCUGCUAACAGAACAGGAAGUCCCUUAUCUUCUAAAGCUGCGUGACUCCAUGCUUAAUUGCAGGCUCCAGGCAGAUACGAAACAUGCCUUGCUCAAAUGAAUUACUUGAGCCUGUACAAGCAAUUUCAGGACCUACGGCAUAGAAGCCAGAUGAGACAAUCUAACCCUCAACUCUUUGAAUAAAAGACAAAUAAGUGAAAGAAGAAGAUGAGCAGAGGCCAAGACAGUGAUGAUUUAGUGAAGCACAACAUUAAAAGAACAGGAAAAAAAAAGAAAGUUUACCAAUAAGAAAUCACUUCUGGUUUGAUGGUGACCCUUCCCUAAGGGAUCAUCCUUCUUGGUGCCCUCACAUCACUCCCAAAGUCCAGUAUUUAACACAAAAUUAGGGCUCCUGCGGCUCCUCCUCUUCCUUCAGCCUGCAGAAAGGUUGAUCAUAAAGGCACCCACCUAAUUCCAGUUCUCCCAGUUGUGGGGUAAUCAGCUCAUUAUGCCGAUGACAGAAAACUGUAAUAUAU